GACAGAGGCCCCAAGCGUUAGGCGGAAUCACUGGGCUUAAAGCGUGUGUAGGCGGAUCGUUAAGUGUCUUGUGAAAUCCCACGGCUCACCCGUGGAACUGCUGGGCAUACUGGCGAUCUUGGGCCAACUAGGGGCAGCCGGAACAAGCGGUGGAGCGGUGAAAUGCGUAGAUAUCGCUUGGAACGCCGAAGGUGAAAACAGACUGCUGGGAGUGUGCUGACGCUGAGACACGAAAGCCAGGGGAGCAAACGGG
rnacentral:rRNA from 1 species